ACAACAACUCCGCCUGUAGUUCCUCUGGGGCUACUGUCGGUCCCAAGCCCGGGUAAAGGAGGAGGGUUGG
ncrna:Schistosoma mansoni type-P1 twister ribozyme